UACGGAGGUGGCAAGCGUUACUCGGAAUCAUUGGGUGUAAAGGGCAAGUAGGCGGUAUGUUAAGUGAGGGGUGAAAUCCUGCGGCUCAAUCGCAGAAAUGCCUUUCAAACUAACAUACUUGAGGCCGGAAGAGGGAAACGGAAUUAGCAGUGUAAGGGUGAAAUCUGUAGAUAUUGCUAAGAACACCGACGGCGAAGGCAGUUUCCUGGUCCGGAUCUGACGCUAAAUUGCGAAAGCUAGGGUAGCAAACGGAAUUAGAUACUCCGGUAGUCCUAGCCGUAAACGAUGAGCACUAGGUGUUGGGCCUUCGGGCUCAGUGCCGCAGCUAACGCAUUAAGUGCUCCACCUGGGGACUACGGCCGCAAGGCUAAAACUCAAAGGAAUUGACGGGGACCCGCACAAGCGGUGGAACAUGUGGUUUAAUUCGAUGCUACGCGAAAAACCUCACCAAGGUUUGACAUAUAGUGAGUAGGGUAUCUGAAAGGUGACCGACCCGUUAAGUCGGGAAGCUAUACAGGUGCUGCAUGGCUGUCGUCAGCUCGUGUCGUGAGAUGUUGGGUUAAGUCCCGCAACGAGCGCAACCAUUGCCCUAUGUUGCCACCAUGCCAAUGAGACUUCGGUCUCGGGCAUGAGCACUCUUAGGGGACUGCCUGGAAUAACCAGGAGGAAGGUGGAGAUGACGUCAAGUCAGUACGGCCCUUAUACCUUGGGCUACACACGUGUUACAAUGGUCGGUACAAUGGGUUGCCAACCCGCGAGGGGGAGCUAAUCUCUAAAAACCGACCCCAGUUCGGAUAGAAGUCUGCAAUUCGACUUCUUGAAGCCGGAAUCGCUAGUAAUGGAAGAUCAGCUCGCUUCCGUGAAUACGUUCCCGGGUCU
rnacentral:rRNA from 1 species